ACAUGAAAAUAUAUGUUAAAACAGGAGAAACACAGUGCUGCAGUGACUAAUAUUUAGACUAGAACUUCCUGUGCAAGGGAUAUUAUUCUUGAGCCAAUUUAUUACCAUGGACCAAUGCCCAUACACUUUGUGGAGCAAUGUGCUAUUUCUAGUUUUGUUGAGAUCUCUUCUUUGUCAUGCCCAGAUUCUUUGUGUUAAUGCAGACAGAAUGAAACUAUUUUCUAUCAAGUAGAUUUCCAUUGCCAAAAUCUUAUCUACUAAGUCCAUUCUUAAAUAUCAAAGAAAUCUGAAUGCCUGACAAGGUUUCUAUCUCCUUGUGCUUGCAGAUUCAUUCAUCUUACUUUACUGGCUUUUAACAUCAUUGCUCUGCAAACCUUAUCAACUAUAUUUGGUGGCAGAGUCAUUUUUUGCAAAGAAAGAGAAUACCCAGACUCUCUUAAUUGUUUGAACUCAGAAAGCUUUGCUUAUUGUUGUAGCUGUAGUGGAACAACUGAGUGGUGCACUGGGUGAAUCUGGACUAUUAGUUCUUCCUUGUGUUGCAGCACAUAUUAACCGGAUCAUCAUAGACUUAUUUCUAGUAAACUUUUGGCUUCGAAAGGAUAAGUCGCACAAUCAAAUCAAGAAAUUUGGAAGAAUGCCAUUAUUAGUUGAGAAGCAUCUUUUGUACUGGAAAAAUAUUGUCAUAUAAUUUACAGUUACUAUUACCAUUCAACUGUUUUGAAGAA